AAGAUCAUACUUCACAGGAUCAUUUCUGUAGUAUGCAUCGUCCCCUCCAGGUGCAAAUCUGGAGUCGUCGUAAGCCACGAUGAUGAGACUAGUUCUUUUACCAGAGCGUGAGAUCACCUNCUAGUUCUAUUACCAGAGCGUGAGAUCACCUAUAUUGACGUGCUCCUGCAAAGUUCAAUUAGGUAACGAUGAUCGCAACCAAGACUUCUUGGAAGGUAAAUGAACAGUCUGAGUGGU